AUGACGUCAUUGGUCAGAGCCGACGGGUUGUAUCCUCUGCGGCCUGCUUGGCUGCUUCAUUAGGUGCUUCGACCAUGGUGGUCGAAGAUUAAAUGUGAAAGUCUUACGUCUGUGACCGGCUUGACGAUAAAUUACGUCUUGCAACCGUGUGUGGUCAGUUGUGGUCGAUAAAAUUCAAAACAAAAUUUUGAUACCUACAUGUCUACUGGCAAUUUAUAGUUACGGUAGUUACAUGAAUUGUUCCUGUGAACACGACUAGAUUUCAGGAAGUGAACAUUGAUGAACGUUAAUUAUCAGCCCAUUUGUCGCUUCCUCGUUUUGCCGGGAAGGAAGACCCACAGGUUGAUUUCGCGCCUGUUUAUAAGUUCCCUGCAGCACAAACCAAAUCAGAAGUUGACGCCUGUGAACAUUAAUCGCCAGCCUAUUUGUUGCCGCAAUGGAAGAAUCGCUGGAUGGUUCCUUGCUGGUCGACACGGUUAUGGUGAGCUCGAGAGGCCUUCAGCAGCAGCAGCAGUCACCGGCGGCCGCGGACUCGAAGACACCCGCCCGCAGCGUCACUCCCACCGAGGCCGCUUCGCUGCGCACCGCAGCGGUCUGCAGAACUGCCUGCCCCUCGCUGUCCCUCGCGUCUCUGACCACUCUGGGUAUCGGCAGGGGCUUUGCGGUGCCCUGUCUGCUGUAUCCUACCUCGAUGUGGAGGCCGCCUUGCUGCCACUUGUUCUGUAUGUUGACGUCGGCCCCCGACUGUGGCAGAAUUCCGCUGUACAGUGCGGUGGAGUGUAGCCGCGUUCGCGCCGGUUAUUGGCGUCUGUUUCCCUGGCUGAGACCUCGACGAGUGUGGUCGCGUCUCCAUUCUCUGUGCAUUUUGAAUCUGCUUCUCGAUGCCUUGCUCCUUUGCGGUAUUAUUUUCCACGGAAAUGUAUUGCCGCAGUGGAAAAUCUGAAAAUCUUUAACUGUGCCAGUUACGUGCUAAAAACCCAGUUGAGUUGUGUGAGCAGUGUGUAAGACUUGACAACUUGGUCCAAAAGGGAAGGAGAUUUUGAGGUUACACAGAAUUACUUAACAUUUUCAGAACUGAAAGUAAUGCCAGAGGGUGGUGUUCCACAUUACAUCUGAUUUGGGAAGCACCCUGCAAAAUCCCCUGUUCAGGGUUACCUUUGCUAACCCAGAAAACUAAUUUUUGGCAGGCCACGUAUUUGAGGCAUAUCCUGUAAUUUUAAUGUGCGGAAUUUAAAAUUGAACUCUGGCCUCUGGCGUAGAUCUUUAAGCAGGUAUUUGCAUACGAUUUAAUGUGAUUGAAGAUAUCUGAGUAAAACAAAUUUUCGUUUCAACACGUAAAUGUAUUCACUAAAACCAUCUGUUAACUUCACAUAAAAAAAUUGACUGUCAAAACUGUUAAUAAUUCUUUUGGUGUUGAAAUUCUGUGUGAAUUUACACACUGAUAAACCACAGUGAAAACUGUGCAGUUGGAUGUGCCUGCUUUGUUGUUUGGUGGUGGUGGUGGUGGUGGUGGUGGUGGUGGUGGUGGUUAGGGGUAUUCCACAUGGCUCAGGAAGCUGGCAUCAGUUGGUGUUCAGUGGUUUGUUUGUUGGCUCUGUUGUUUGCAUUCCUGUUCCCACCCUUUGGCAUUUAAUGACGUGGUUGACCCCGAGCAAAGAGUCUGUGUGAAAUUUUGUUUCCUGUCGGGGAAAACUGCAGCAGAGACUAUUGGGAUGCUUCGGCAAGCCUUUAGUGACGAUGCUUUGGCGAAAUCACAGGGCUAAGAGUGGUUCUCUUAUUUGAGAUCUGGCAAAACAUCAACUGAAAACGUGCCACAUCGUGGUUGUACUUAGACAUCAAGAAAUGAUGAAAACAUUGCCACAAUCAAACGAGCAAUUCUCAGAGGACCAUUGACCAAAUUUCUCAGGAAAGAAAAUUGUCACGGAGCACAGUCCAGCAAAUCUUAACUGAAGAUUUGUACACGAGAUGGAGUCUGCAAAAUUUGUUCCUCGCUCACUCGCAGGUGACCGAAGAGAAAAAAAAAGUUAAUGUUUGCCACGGCUUGAAGAGUGAAAUGCAAAACUAUCCAACUGCCGGAUGAGUCAGUACUACUGGUGCAAUCUGGAGUCGAGGAGUAAAAGCGAAUGCGGUGCCAGUGGAAAGCUUAAAGAUCACCAUGACCCGAGAAAGCAUGUCGAGUGCCAUCCGAUGUGAAAACAGUGUUUAUCUGUGCUUUUGAUGUGAAUGGAAUUGUUAACAAGGAGUGUGUUGUUCCAGACAGUUUGUGAACCAAUAGUUUUAUGUGGACGUGUUAGGAAGAUAUGGAGGUGUGUGCAGUGAAUAUGGCCAGGACUGGGGAAAAAUGGGAACUGGUUGCUCCACCGAGACAAUUCUCCAGCCGACACAGCUCGGACAGGCCGACAGUCGGUGGCAAAACGUGACACGGUGCUUGUCCCUCAUCCAGCCUCUCACCCAGUCUCACUCUGUCUGACUUCUUUUUUUUAUUUUCACGGACGAAGCAGUCCAAAUGGAAAGUGAUUCGGUGAUGUAGACGAUGUCAAACGAAAUACACUGACGGCUUCGAACAGUAUCCUGCCACGAGAGUUCCAGAACUGUUUCCGGCAGUGGCAAGUGUCGAGCCGAGUGCACCGUUGCACACGGACGAUACUUUGAAGGGGACUAAAAUACUGUAAAUGUAGGUUUCAAUAAAAUGCAAAAUAAAAAUUCCAGUUACUGUGCCCCCUAGUAAACUCGCAAGUACUGACGGAAAGUAGUAAUCGAAAGCUCGGCGAGUAACCUCAGAAAUUUGCAUACGACACGUGACUGUCGAUCUCGAGAUGAGCAGUAGCGUGUAAUUCCACGGUGCCGCUUAAAAUGCUCGCCGCAUUUGUAACCGCGGUGUUCCGUGCCGUCCCCUGCUGGACGUGUGGUCCCGCUGCGGAUGGCACUCGGUCAAAACUCGAAGAUGCCGCAGUCUACACCCCGACUCGAACUGACGGGUCCAACGUGGAAUCGACCGUGACCCAAUUCGGAGGCAGUAUGUGCUCUGCCACAACUCGAUGCAGAGUCCCCAACGUGGCCACCGCCGGUACGGAAUGGCUAGCCUUAGAAAUUUUGGUCGUCUGUUAUAGCCUGCGAGAAGUGCAGGAUGCUCCCCUUCUCCUUAUAGGUGAGACGAGGGGACCAUUUUCUGCCCGUUUCCCGGAUGGAGGGAUUCGAGGAAACGAACUCGCCGCUGCGGCUGCUGAGGAGGCUCGCUCCCUUCUCACUCUCGCUCACUGGUCGACCCCUCCCCCCUUUCAGUUGCCAAAAGUGAGGAGUAAUGAACUACAUUCUGUAAAACGUUCAGUGUGUCCGUGGGUUACUUCCUUCCACCUGGGAGGGUGUGAAGGAGCAACUGUUAUACAGCUCGUAGUGGAACGUUCUCCAUUGACACGUGGCUUCUUUUUAAGAUGCAAGACUGCCCCCAGAUGUGGGACACAGACAUCAGUAUGAGGUAUUUUGAGUGUGUGUUAUACGUCGAUGCGAGUGUCGAUCUGGCUCUCCUGUAGGAUUUGCCCUCUAUUAUAACUGAUUAUGAGGCGAGUAGUGUUCGUGUUUUAAGAUUUUUGUCUGAUUUCCGGAAAUUUUUCCCAAAUAUUGAAUGUGAGAUUUUAUCGUGUCACCGAGUGGCUCGGUCACUGAUUAUUUGUAAGUAGUCACCUGGCCACACACACCUGACUCCUUGUUAAUGAUGUCUUUACUGGUAUUUCAUCCACUAUUUCGUCUGGUUGUCGUGCAGGAUCUCAUUGGGAUUUUAUUACGGGCUUUUCUGGAGCUCACAUUAUUGUGGUUGCCUUACAGUUCUCGAAAGGGAAUGCGACUCGGUUUUCCAUUUUAUUGUAAUUUUUUGAAAUAAGAUUCUUCUCCCUGCUCGUCAGCACAACCUUGCUGUUUGGUGCCUUCAGUUGUAAAUAGUCACCUCCUUCCCACCUGACAGUGUGUGUUACCAAAUUAAAGAACACUGCAGCCCAACAGCAACUGCCUCCCCCAACUGUAGAAUAUCAUCAAAAAUACCGCUUCACGUCUGAUGUGGGUCGCAAAAUAACUCCACGUUUUAUGUGGACCUGCAUCUGGUCAAGAGUUUCAUUCUUCCGGGUUACAGGACUGCAGUAGGUGGUGGUGGGAGGGUGCAUGGCACAGGUCUUACACGGGGGGUGCGGCAGUUACAAGUGUAGGAGCCACAGGGUAGAGAAGGUGGUUUGGGGAUUUCAUAGGGAUGAACUAAGAGGUUAUGAAGGUUAGGUGAAUGUUGGUGGAGUUAGGAGGAUUCCAUGAAGGAUGGAUCUCAUUUAAAGGCAGCAUUUGAAGAAGUUGUAUCCGAUCAAAGGCAGAGCCACGUGUGAAAGCACCCACGUGAU